GAAUGUCUCGUUAUCGGAAAAGUAUGGUAGCCAUACACCAAAUGGUUUUUGCGUAUAGCUACCAUAUUACUUCCGAUAUGACUGUUGACAUUACUGCGGAUAUGACGGAGCAGUGCAUUGGCAAUAUGCCAAGGGCAGUAACAUGCCGUCAGUCACGUCAGUCAUCGGCCUUGGCUAUCUGUAAGAAUCUUGGCAGGAAUCUUGGCCUUUUCUUGGACCCAUAGCCUCGGCCUUCUACCAAUCAUAUCGCCGAAUUCGCAGGCAGUGAGAGACAAAUACGGCGUGCCGAAGACAUAUUGGGUGUCUCAAAAUCACUGAGAACUCUAUAGCUCAAAAUUUAAGCCCUGCACGUUUUUAGAUCUACCCCGUUGAGUGGCAUUCUUGUGAAAAUUAUGUAAAUAUGUUUAUCAGAAUAAGGGAGAAGUGUAGGGGGCGGCGGGUGAGGUGCAGAAGAAGAAUAAGAGGAAGUUGUACCUAUCCAGUAACUUUAUCUUGAUUUGUGGACUAGACGAAGACUAGAUUUUGAUGAAGAAAUUGAAAUCGAUAAACUUGAACUGCAGGACUCGUGGCGCUGCUCGCCUCCUCGCCAAUGCGAACGCGUUCUCUGAGGACAACCCGCCCAAGGCCAGCAUGACGAAGCCACGCCACCGCGCCGGCUAUAGACUCACGGCCUGAAGCGAGUUUGGGCGCGACGGCUGGCGAGCCAAGGCGGCGGAAAGUCGUCUGGCGGAGCUCCCGUCUGAGGCGAGCUUGAUCUGGUCAGACAGCUCCGCCACCGAUGGUGUGCUAGAUGGAGGAGGAGGGGCCACCCCCCCCCCCUGAACCGCGACAUCCGGGAGGUGCGUGUCGCGGCAGGCGCCCUCUGCUCUAGCACGCGCGGCGAGCUAUUCGCCCUAAGAGCGGUGUUGGAGGAGCUGUUGACCAAGACUGGUCGCGACACCUCUCUUCCGAUAAUUAUCGUCUGUACCGACUCGAUGGCGGCGCUGGCCCUCCUGCGGAGCGGCGCGGCGGCCCAGAGAGCCCCUCUGGCCGCAGACAUAUGGGGGCUGCUGGCAGCGCUCACCGAGGGGGCCAGCCAGUGAUAAUGCAGUGGGUUCCUGCACACUGCGGGCUUCCGGGCAACGAGCGGAUGGACGCCCUCGCGCGUGAGGCUGGCGCCCUAUCCCAACGGUAGCGCCGUCCGCCGAUCGACUUGGGCAGCACUAUCUGCAAGGCAGGCGCGCGCGACGCUGCGCGCGCCUGGCGGCGGAGCUGGCAGGACGGAUGACCCUGGCUGCCGCCGUGAGAACCAUCCAGAACCGUACGGCUAUGCUGCGGCAGCGGCUGAAAGGAACGCAACAACAAUAACUACAACAGCAGCUGCUAAUGAAAGGGGAAAUCAUGGAGCCGGAUGACCCGGCACAUGGCGCUCAGCCAGCUGAGAAUGAGAGCAGCUAUCAAAUCGCCAGCAGGGUGCUGCGGCUGGUAACUGACGACCUUGGUAGAGAGAGCGCCUCCGCUGAUGCGGAUGAAACUACCCCCUCUCGGGUUUGUUUGACGCCGUCUCCGUCGACUCUUUCGCCUGGGCCGGCUGGCGACCGCGCUACAUUUCUUGGGCAGUGACUCGUAACUGUGUUCACCAAACUUUUAAAACUCCCCACGUUAGCAUCUUUAAAGAAUGUUUUCCUUGUACACUGCUGCAAUGUCUUAUGUAGGCAUGUUGUACAGUCUAAACGAGUGUGGAAUGCUUUGUUGUGCUUGUUCUGUAUUUCGUUUGCUAUUUAUCACGGUGACUAUAAUUUAUUUUGACCAACCCUUGCCUUGUUACAAUUGUAGUGGAUGGUUUCUGAACUGCUGUUUGCAUUAUAGAUGUUGCUAGUGCGUAGACGCCAAAGAUUACUUUAUACCUAUUGACGCGCCAGAUAAAGGAGGUGAAGUAUUCCUCUGAUCUAUACCUACGGAAUUCCUUUAUGUGUGUUUUGUAAUCGAUAUUGGCGGUUUUCUUAUGUGAUGCGGUGUAGAGCGUGGCUGAGGAAGGCGAUGUUUAAAGUUGCUAGUUAUUUUUCAAUACAUCUUUGAUCGGAC